rnacentral:rRNA from 1 species
AUUGAACGCUGGCGGCAUGCCUUACACAUGCAAGUCGAACGGUAACAGGUCUUCGGAUGCUGACGAGUGGCGAACGGGUGAGUAAUACAUCGGAACGUGCCUAGUAGUGGGGGAUAACUACUCGAAAGAGUGGCUAAUACCGCAUGAGAUCUACGGAUGAAAGCAGGGGAUCGCAAGACCUUGUGCUACUAGAGCGGCCGAUGGCAGAUUAGGUAGUUGGUGGGAUAAAAGCUUACCAAGCCGACGAUCUGUAGCUGGUCUGAGAGGACGAUCAGCCACACUGGGACUGAGACACGGCCCAGACUCCUACGGGAGGCAGCAGUGGGGAAUUUUGGACAAUGGGCGAAAGCCUGAUCCAGCAAUGCCGCGUGCAGGAUGAAGGCCUUCGGGUUGUAAACUGCUUUUGUACGGAACGAAAAGCCCCGGGUUAAUACCCUGGGGUCAUGACGGUACCGUAAGAAUAAGCACCGGCUAACUACGUGCCAGCAGCCGCCUAA